UAGAGUUUGAUCCUGGCUCAGGACGAACGCUGGCGGUGCGCCUUAUGCAUGCAAGUCGAGCGAAGCUUUUCAGUAGUUUACUACAGAAAAUGACUGAGCGGCGAACGGGUGAGUAACGCGUGAGCAAUCUACCUUAGUUACAGGGAUAGCCCGAGGAAACUCGGAUUAAUACCGGAUAUUCUUAUUUUUUCACAUGAAGUUUUAAGGAAAGGUCAGCCGAACUAAGAUGAGCUCGCGUUCUAUCAGCUAGUUGGUGAGGUAAAAGCUUACCAAGGCUACGACGGAUAGCUGGUCUGAGAGGACGAUCAGCCACACUGGGACUGAGACACGGCCCAGACUCCUACGGGAGGCUGCAGCAGGGAAUAUUGUGCAAUGGGCGAAAGCCUGACGCAGCAACGCCGCGUGUGGGAUGACGGUUCUAGGAUUGUAAACCACUUUCAGGAGGGAAGAAAAUGACGGUACCUCCACAAGAAGACCCGGCCAACUAUGUGCCAGCAGCCGCGGUAAUACGGAGGGUGCAAGCGUUGUUCGGAUUUAUUGGGCGUAAAGCGAGUGUAGGCGGUUUGAAAAGUCGGAUGUAAAAGUUUAGGGCUCAACCCUAAAAUGUCGAUCGAUAACUGUCAGGCUAGAGUCCCGGAGAGGGUGGCGGAAUUCCCGGUGUAGGGGUGAAAUCCGUAGAUAUCGGGAGGAACACCAGUGGCGAAGGCGGCCACCUGGACGGUGACUGACGCUGAGACUCGAAAGCGUGGGUAGCAAACAGGAUUAGAUACCCUGGUAGUCCACGCCGUAAACGGUGAGAGCUCGUCGUAGUGGGUAUUGACCCCUGCUGUGACCAAGUUAACGCAUGAAGCUCUCCGCCUGGGAAGUACGGUCGCAAGACUAAAACUCAAAGAAAUUGACGGGGGCCCGCACAAGCGGUGGAGCAUGUUGUUUAAUUCGAAGCAACGCGCAGAACCUUACCUGGAUUUGACAUCUCCGGAAUCUCUCUGAAAGGAGAGAGUGCCUUCGGGAACCGGAUGACAGGUGCUGCAUGGCUGUCGUCAGCUCGUGUCGUGAGGUGUUGGGUUAAGUCCCGCAACGAGCGCAACCCCUAUCGUUAGUUGCUAGCAGGUAAUGCUGAGAACUCUAGGGAGACUGCCGGUGAUAAAGCGGAGGAAGGUGGGGACGACGUCAAGUCUUCAUGGCCCUGAUGGGUAGGGCGACACACUUGCUACAAUGGUCGGUACAGAGGGCUGCAAACUCGCGAGAGUAAGCUAAUCUCAGAAAGCCGAUCUUAGUCCGGAUUGGAGUCUGCAACUCGACUCCAUGAAGUUGGAAUCGCUAGUAAUCGCGGAUCAGAAUGCCGCGGUGAAUACGUUCCCGGGCCUUGUACCUCACCGCCCGUCACACCAUGGGAGUUGAAUUCAUUCGAAGCGGGGAUGCUAAAAUAGCUACCUUCCACAGUGGAUUUAGUAACUAGGGUGAAGUCGUAACAAGGUAACCA
rnacentral:rRNA from 1 species